AUCAUCAUAGGCAGCAGGAGGCUUCUGGGUAGAGGUAUUCAGCUGGAGCCCUGUGUCUUCCCCACACUCGUCCCUUUCUACAGCUGCCAGGAUUUCAGUAUUGAAAUCAGUUUCUGAAAAUCUUUUCUUGAUUGUUUCUUUUUGAUUAAGUGUAUGCAAGAGCUGAGGAUCUCUGUGGCAGUAUUUGCCUUUACUCCCUGAGUGGCUCUCUGCAGGUGUCCUCUCCACCAAGGACCCCCUUGGCGGUGGAUGACUGCAUUCUUGGUACCUUAUGACUUUUCCUCUACAGAUGUUUAAAGUGUGACUCCCACAUUCUGUCAGCUCCUGGUGCUUUUCCUCUUUGGAUCCCAGAUCAACAAGUUCAAUUCUGUCAGAAGUAGAAGACUCAGUCAAGCUUCCACAUGGCUUGUUAUUUCUCCUUCGCCGAGACAGUCUGAAUUUAACCUGGGCUUGCCUUUUUGCCUGAACCCAUUGACUCUCAUCUGUGGAAGACGAAUCUGAAGACUCCAUAUCAAGUUCUCUCCACCUGGGACUUGAGAUCUGGAGGACAUACUAAUUUGAAGCUAACAACUUGAAAUAAAUCAGAUGGACAAUGAAAAGUUAAGUUUAUUUCACUAAGUUCUUUUUUUUUUUGACAUUCAAUAUUUGCAGACUCCACUUGACUUCUUCACACUGUUAUGUUUAGUGUAGACAAUGCUGAUAUAGUAGAAGCCAUGUUAUACCAAUAAUUCACUAUUGGACUUAUCCUGUGGCUUUAUCUAAUCUUUACAAUAAUUUUACACAUGAACAAAUUGUCAGUUUGAGUUGUUUAGAACCAUUUCUGCAUAUUCAAUUAACACACCAAGUGUUUGUGGUAAACACUGUAAUUAUUUUUAAGUACAGUCAGGAAGCUUAGAAAUUGAAGUAGCUUUUUGUUAAGAUGUAGAAUUGAAUAUUUGGACUAAGAAUCUGGCUUUGUCUUUUAUGUUCUAAUCACUAGAGAUAAAGUCUCUUUUCUUUUGAACAAGAGAAACCAACGGGAUUACAGGUCUAUACUCUAGUCUGGUUGACUGAUUCAGUAAAACACAUAACUUUCUCACUAAGAAAAUAACACUAAGGGAAAAAGGAUUGCAAAUUUCAAAGUAUUUCUCAAAACGCUGGUGUCCAAAAUGUGGAAAUUGUCCAACACUUAUGAUUGUGGGGUUCAGAAAAAGAGAAACUAAUUUAAAACCAAGAAACAAGAGAAGAAUUGUUAAGUCUUUAUCACUAGAAUUAUAAAACACAUUUGUGUAUAAUGUCAACCAGUUUUUGGUAGUCUUAUACCAGUCAUAGAAACAUCAUAUAGGAGGAGAUAGUUUUGCUAACAUUAAAAGGCAAAUGGGAGUCAUUAAAGAGACAUUUCAGGUGGAUCUAACAGUGUGCUGAAAUGCUAGCAUUGGGAGUGUGUUCCUAGCCUGAUGCACACCUUCUGUGGACUUAUGACUUACAGGUUUCUAUAACCUCAUGAAUAUUGUCUGUUUAGAUCUAUGAGUAGAUAAAACAUGUUCCAUGAUAUAUAGUAUUUGUAUCAAGAUUCACUUCUUUCAAGUUAUUAUUAUUGUUAUUAUUAUUAUUAUUAUUAUUAUUAUUAUUAUCUUUCAAAACACCAUAUGGUGCUGCAAAGAUGGCUCAAUUGAUAAAGGUGCUUGUCAAGUCUGAUGCCCUGAAGUUACUUCUCUGGACCCAUAUGUAGGCAGAGAGCACUAGGUCCUGCAAGCUCUCCUGUGAUCCCCUCACAGGCAUCGUGGUAUAGGCAUGCCACCAACAAAUAAGU
ensembl:antisense Gm15354 predicted gene 15354